UAUUGACUUGCUGGCCACUUUUGAGUGGAAAGAUAUCUUGACGUUUGUUUGUUGUUUCCGAUGCUCCAGAAUUAUGCUUAGCUUAAAUCAACUACACUGUCUUGAAGCGGAGUGUCCAAUGGAAGAAGAUUCACCAAAAACCAAUAUAACGAUUGCUGUGGAAGGUAACAUUGGAAGUGGGAAAACAACUUUGUUAAAUUUUUUUAGAGACAAUCCCCUAGUAGAAGUAUUAGAAGAACCAGUGGCUAAAUGGCAAAAUGUUGGAGGGAAAAACCUUUUGGUAAGUUGAUGAGGUGUACCAGCUACAGCUCUAGUACUCACUGCUUGAGCUCUAGUUUGUAACCCCAUUGGCCA